rnacentral:rRNA from 1 species
GAUUGUAGGCUGCAACCCGCCUACAUGAAGUUGGAAUUGCUAGUAAUCGCAGAUCAGAAUGCUGCGGUGAAUACGUUCCCGGGCCUUGUACACACCGCCCGUCACACCAUGGGAGCCGGUAAUACCCGAAGUCAGUAGUCUAACCGCAAGGGGGACGCUGCCGAAGGUAGGAUUGGCGACUGGGGUGAAGUCGUAACAAGGUAAC